GCCUUGAGAGUGGCGAACGGGUGAGUAAUGCAUCGGAACGUACCCAGUCGUGGGGGACAACGUAGCGAAAGUUACGCUAAUACCGCAUACGACCUGAGGGUGAAAGUGGGGGACCGCAAGGCCUCACGCGAUUGGAGCGGCCGAUGUCAGAUUAGCUAGUUGGUGGGGUAAAGGCCCACCAAGGCGACGAUCUGUAGCGGGUCUGAGAGGAUGAUCCGCCACACUGGGACUGAGACACGGCCCAGACUCCUACGGGAGGCAGCAGUGGGGAAUUUUGGACAAUGGGGGCAACCCUGAUCCAGCCAUGCCGCGUGCGGGAAGAAGGCCUUCGGGUUGUAAACCGCUUUCGGACGGAAAGAAAUCGCAUGGGCUAAUACCCUGUGUG
rnacentral:rRNA from 1 species